GGAAUCACAUGACUGAAGGCGGCCAGUUUUCAGCGCUCUGCAAUAGAAAGAUGAACCGGGUUCAUUACAGAUUUGAUGAUUAUUUUAUGCCAAGUUUUUGGAAAAGUUUCGAUUAUGCUUGCUGCACAUGAUAUGGCGAUUACGAGGAAUGGAAAUACGAGGAGACCGCACGGGCGAAAAGUGCAUACGUCAGCGAAGGGUAACCGGAGCACUUUGCGACACUUAGAUGGACCGGCACGGAGAGAUGCAGUUGCGAGAUGGAAGCGUGUGCAAUAAUCUCGGACAUCUCCCCACGCUCUCCAAACUCCACAGACGCAAGACGUGAGAACGUGUGGAUAGCGGUCUCCAGCUCGCAGUGCAGCGUGGGAUGAAGACCUCAGCAGCUGACCUGGUUCCCCGAUAGAUCGAUUUUGGCGCGACGCAUCUCACGGGCAUUCGUGAACUGAACUGCUAUCGCGAUAUCUCAGCCUCCAAUACCUACCGCUUACGAGUUAUUUUUGGUCUUUACCUGAGAACGCGCAGGUAUGGACGGUAUUUUUUUUUCUUUUUUUCCCCUUUUAACGUGGCACCAGAAAAUUCGAGCAGUCAAUGUCAUUUCACGGUUGGCAGAGAAACGGAGAGAAAAUAAAAAAGUGUCUAGAGAAAAAU